AUUCUAUGAAUGUCUUCUCCCUCCUCUCUCCCUUUCAUCAUCUUCCUCGCCCUGUAAAUAAUCUCAGCUCAAGCAUCAUCUGCACUAGAAAGCUUUCCUGAUGCCCACCUUCCCCAGGGGCUCUAUACCCCCCUUUCUUUGUGCACUCACUGAACUGGGUAGACACAUUUAUGAUGGUGCCUUACAGCUGUGCAUGGCCUGCUUGCCUGCUUGUGCGUGCCUGCUGGCCUGGCUCUGUGCCGCUGAUCUCAGAACCCCAGCCCAGUACGGUGCCUCACCCUCAGUAGGGAAUUGGGAGGUGAGGGAUGAAUCCUUGAGUCUCUCCUAGGUCACUGACACGGCUGCUCACUGGUUUCUCCUCUCCAGCUGAGAUCACAUUGCCCUCCUUACAAACUCCCGACGGCUCCUCACUGCCCACUGAAGAAAAUGCAACACCUUGGGGCACCCGAGAGCCUCCACAAUAUGAUACCAGCUCACCGUUUUAGCCUCAUCUCUCCUUGUAUCCUUUCCCAGGACCACUUGUCCAGCCCUAAACAGGCCAGGCUCCCCCACCUUUGCCCCUGCUAUUCUUUUAAACUAAAAUUCCUUUCUCCAUCUCUACCUAAGGAGUGCCUACAAAAUAAUUUCUAUUCAUCCUUACACUAGCUCAAAAGCCAAUGAUGCUCUGAUGUGCUCAUCAAAAUCUCUGUUAGGAGUAUCUGCUAUCUCAUAUGCCCUAGGGUUCCUGUCUGUCCCUGCAGCUACGCAAUGGAAGCUCCAUGAAGGCGGAGGUCGUGCCUUACAACUUAAUUUUGGAGGCCCUCAUGGAGGGGCUGUUGAUUUAAAAUGAUUUGGAAAAGAAAAAGUCAAUGUUCUCUUCCAAAUGAAGGGCUAUUCAAGUUACUGUGAAUGGUUUUAAUACAGAAAAUGAGAGAAACGGGAUCCAAAAAAAUGGAGUGAAAUGGGAUAAGUUACCAAUCGAGCAAAGAAUGAAACCAUAAAAGUAGAAUUUGCUUUAAGAUAAACAUUGAGGCAUUGAAUAUCUGAGAUUUCUGUUUCCUUGUUUUAUGAGCACGGGAUUGUAGGAGAGUUAGCGAGCACCUUUAAGCUUUUAUGUGGGCUCUUUGGCUAGAACUAGAAACCAAAUGGACACCAAGCAGAUUAGCAAGGUAAAAGCAUACUAAUUGUAUUAGUUUUAAUGAACACAGGUGUCAUGCCAGACCUCUGUUGACUGCAAGAGGAAUGGCACAAUGUUUGAGAGCCCAAAUAAGAGACCCAUAGCCAGCAAACAAGACACAGGGUUUUAUUAGGGAGAACUUACACACAUGGAUAGUCCAGAGGUGGAAAGCUGAACAGGAAACCACAACUGCUUGAAAAAAGCAUGUCGUUUAUACUGCACCUUCCCUUAGCACCCUCCCUCCCUCAGCCUCCAUGUGGCAACCCUCAUUUCUUAAGUCAUUGCUGGCAGGUGCAUCUGCCAUAUAGGGUCAUUCUCAGGGUGUGAUUAAGUUAGAGCUGUCAGAUGCAACUACCAUGCACAGGAGAUCUUUGCAAGAGAAUGAAAUCCAAAGAAGUGGCCAAAGCAAGAUGCCUUUAUACUUUUUAGACAAAGAACAAUGAAUUUGAGAAGAAAUGACAGGAUAAAAGGGAUCUGGCUGGGGCAGUAGAUUUUAAGGGAGUCAUAGGAGCUAUAUGGGCUGAUGUAAAACUAGUGGACAAGAAGGAUUACUUUGGUAAAUAUUUAUUUAGGUCCACUGCAGCCCUAAUUUCCCAGUCUCUGGUAAUAAGGACUAUUUUAUUACCCUAGUACAGGGAGUCCCCUCUCCAAGAGGAAGCUCUGUGGCUUGCUACAUGCAGGGGGAGACACGACAACUGGCCCUUUCUGAAACUACAAUUUCUUCAAUGUUUAUAACUCAAAAUAAUCAAUAUACGAAUUUGGCAUAUUUUGAGAUUGCACAUCUUUCACUCCUUUAGAAUUCAAAGUCACAGGUGUUAGUUCUGUCCUUGAUAUUGGCUCAGAUAAGCUUGGUGAUCGUCAGCAAACGCUUCUGAUCUUUAAUAUCCUCCUCCUUAAAAUGAAUACAAGAAUCAGUAGAAACAAUAGCUACCAAAGAGCUGUAAAAAGUUGAGUUCGUAGGGGCUCUAGAAAUGUAAGGCAUUUGUGAAUGUGGUGUAAUUUUUUUAACAAAUAAAUAUUAAUUGAGCUUCAGUUAUGUGCCAGGUGCUAGAGGCAGUGAGCUAGGAGAAACCAGACAAAUAUCUUGAGCGGCAUCUGCUUGCUUCCUUCCUUGCAGGUAUAUACUUAUACUUUUGCAAUUUGUUUCUGCCCUUCAGUGACAUCAGUGCAUAAUGCCAGGUGCCCUCUCUUGUCUGCGAUAGGGAAAGAGAGAAAGGAGCCCACAUAGCUCCCCACAUAUUCCCUGUGCCCAACCCUGCCAAGCCCUUCACUGUACAAACACAGAGGGAAGGCGGAGGAAGGAGAGAUCAUGGGCUAUUAAUGCUCUGGGAAGAAUGCAAACCAGUCUGUUCAUACCACCAGUCAUAGUGAGCUGUGACCAUGAUCACAAUGCUCGCUUGACAUUAGAAUCAGUAUAUUUGUAAGUAGAUCAGGAGCUUCUCCCAUAGUUACAGCCUUUUGAUCUUUCUUACCCAUCAGAAGGAAAGGCAAGACACCAUCAAGUGAGGCACCUGGGCCAAAGGUACUAUGAUGCAGUCCAGUGCCUGAGGAAUAAAACCGCCUCCACCCUAAAUGCUGCACUCAGAUGGGAAUGGAGGGGGUACUUGGACAUUGCUAGAAUCAUUCAUUCAAUCACGCAUUCAAAAAAUUCCUUCAAAAUAGUGCAGCUUAGUGGUUAAAACACUGACCUUUUUGCUGCAUAAACCUGGGUUCAAAACUUAGCUCCACCCUUUAUAAGAUAUGGGACCUUAAGGAAGUUGCAGAAUCUCCCUAAAUGUGCCACUUCAUCCAAAAACUAGGAUAACACUAAUAGCUACCCUUAGAACCGUGGGAGGGGUUAAAUGUUACGGAGCUCUUAGCACUGUGCCUUGCACCUGCUAAGCAUAUAAUGAAUAAUAAUUGUUAUUAUAAUCAUCAGUAGCACUCAUAUGUUCCAGCACCAUCCUAAAUACUAGGCCCAAAGAGUUAGGAAAAAAAAGUUACUGCACUCGGGUAGGCAAAUAACUCACUAUAAUACAACACGGUAAGUAUUACAACAGAGCUAGGAACAAAAAUGUGGGAGAAAAGGGUUCGGGGAGAGGGGUGGUGGCUUCCUAGAAGAGACAGUGUUUUCACUGAGUCUUAGAGAAUAAGCAGGGAUUUCACCAGGAGAAAAAGAGAGAAUAAGGUAAGGCAUUCCAGGCAGAGAAAAUGUCCAAACAAAGGAGGAGGAAAGGAGCAAAGUGAGUCGAGACAGCUGCACACAGUGCAUCCUGGUCCUCCCUCCUCUCUAGUACGCUGCAGAGAGUCACCUUGUUCUGCUCAGAAAACACGACCUGGGCUGUGCUGGGCUGAGAGAAGAGAAGGAAGUGCCCAGGACUCUGGCACUCUUUUUGCUGCCUGGAAUUCACCCUUCAGCCAUUCCAGAUGCCGAUUGCCAGGGGGAAGAGCAGAGUUGCCAAGGUCCCAGCUGAGGGAAAUGAGAGGGCACAGCCUCCCCAGAGCUGGCAGGGGAAGCUUCCCUGGGGAAGCGGAGUCAGCUCCGGCGCAGCAACCACUGCAGGAGCAGCCAGGGAGCUGCAGCACGGCCAGCCAGGCCGGCCCGCCAGCCUCCACCACAACAAUCGCUAUUUACUUUGGAUGCCGGCCGUCCUCACAAUUCACACACAAGAUUUAUCACCAGAAAUUUUUCAUCUGCACUGCCGAGACUGAGUGGUUGGAUGGCAAGCAUGUGGUCUUGGGCAAGGUGAAAGAAGGCAUGAAUACUGUGGAGGCCAUGGAGCACUCUGGGUCCAGGAAUGGCAAGACCAGCAAGAAGAUCACCAUUGCUGACCGUGGACAACUCUAAUAAGGUUGACUUGUGUUUUAUCUUAACCACUAGAUUAUUCCUUCCGUAGCUCAGGAGAGUACCCCUCCACCCCAUUUGCUUGUAGUAUCCUAGAAUCUUUGUGCUCUCACUGCAGUUCCCUUUGGGUUCCGUGUUUUCCUUGUUCCCUUCUAUGCCUAGCUAGACUGCAGAGUUAAGUUUAUGAUUAUGAAAUAAAAACUAAAUAACAA